UUUUAAAUCCAUUAUUAUAAACCGCAUGCAAAACAACACCACGUUUUUCAUCAGUUAGUCUCAAACACUCAAACGCUCAAACCCUAUAAUUCUUCUCAAUUCACUGUUCAAUUGCUCGCCGUUGUCUUCUUCAUCUGUCUUAAAAUCAAUCGCAAAGCUGCGAGAAAUUGAUCACUUUGAUAACAGAAUUCUCUGAAUUUUCAAUAAAAGUGUUGAGAAUCGUAGAGAAAUUGCGAAGCGGAAGGAAUUGAACAAUUUGACAAGGAAAAUCAGGGCAAUUUAAUAAAAAAGAGAAAUUGCAAAGCGGAAGGAAUUGAACAAUUUGACAAGGAAAAUCAGGGCAAUUUAAUAAAAAAAGUUGUCGUGGAGCAGAUUGCAGGUGGCCAAAGGGAAUUAAUCUUCUUCCUUCUGUAGCACCUCUGGGUGAACUAGUGAGCUAGAUUCUGAUGACGAAGAUCUAAAUGAGAUGCAUGAAGAGGUAAAUUUUCAAUACGAAGUAGAUGAUGAAUGUGCAUCAACCAACACCAACGUAGAAGAGGCGGAGUAUAAAAGACUCAAGGAAGCUUCCAACGAGAGUCUAUAUGAAGGGUGUACUACUUUUUCAAAGCUACUGUUUCUAUUACACUUAUUCCACCUUAAUUGUAUAAACCACUAGUUUGCUGAAUCAUUUAAUAGGUUGCUUGAACUUAUAUUAGACGCAUUUCCUUAUAUUAUGGAGUUUCCGUCGUCUUAUUAUGAAAGCAUGAAGAUAAUAAAAGAUCUAGGAUUAGGUUAUGAGAUAAUGCAUGCAGGUCCAAAUGAUUGUAUGCUAUGUUGGGGGGAAUACGCAAACAAAAGUGAGUGUCAUAUCUGCCACACAUCAAUGUGGCAAAAUCUGAAAGGUAAGGAGAGUGAUGCAAAUAAGAAAAGUAAUGACACGUGUAAGAAGGGGGUGCCAGUUAAAGUAAUGCGGUAUUUUCCUCUCAUCCCUAGACUAGAAAGGCUUUACAUGUCAUCUAAUACUGCAAGAGAUAUGAUAUGGCAUUUUAAUCGGAAGGACGAAAACAUUAUUAGUCACCCGUCAGAUGUAGAGGCUUGGAAAAGAUUUGAUAAAAGAUAUGAAGAGUUCGCUAAAGAUCCUCGUAGUAUACUUGGUCUAGCAAGUGAUGGUUUUAAUUCAUAUCGUCUCAUGAACACUAAUUAUAGUACAUGGCCAGUUGUUCUGAUUCCAUAUAAUUUGCCUCCUUGGCUUUGUAUGAAGUCAUCUUCAUUUAUUUUAUCCUUGAUUAUUCCCAGAAAAUAUGGCCCUGGUAUUGAUAUUGAUGUGUACUAGCAACCUUUAAUCCAUGAGUUAAAAUUGUUGUGGGAAGGUGCAGAUGCUUUUGAUGUUUAUAUCAAAAAAAAGUUUAUACUACGAACAACAUUACACUCCACGACAAAUGACUUCCAGACAUAUGCUAUGUUGUCGGGUUGGAGUACAUAAGGUUAUAAAGCUUGCCCUUCUUGCGUCAAUUUUACUGAAUCAUAUAAAUUUGGUGGUAAAAUUGUCUACUCAGGAUCUCGUAAAUGGUUGUCGAUUGAUCAUCCUUUUCGUUUUCAAGCUAAUUUAUUUGAUGGGAAAGAGGAAUAUGGUCUUACUCCUGUUCCUGCUAGUGGGACAGAAAUUUUGAAGCAACUAGAAGAAGUUAAUUAAGUUUACAGGAAAUCAAAAAUAAUUUCUAAAAAAAGGAGACAAGAAAUUGGGACAUCUAAUAAUGAAAUUGAGGAUGAUGAAGGUGAAAAUGAAGAUGAUAAGGUUCUUUGGAAAAAGAAAAGAACGUUUUUUGACUUGGAAUGUGUGUGACAAUUUAUUAGAAACUCUUUUAGACACAGAAAAGAGUAGAGAUGAUAAAAAAGCUAAGGAGGCUCUUAAAGACGAAACGUAAAAUCUCAUCUUUGGCUUCAAACUCAUCCUAAUCGUGUUAAAGAUAUAUGCCUCCAGCUGCCUGCAAUAUGUGUAAAGAAGAUAAAGAGCGGUUUUUGAAAGUUUUGAAAAAGCUUAGAGUUCCUGAUGGGUAUGGCUCAAAUUUGCAAAGAUGUGUGAAUAUGAAGGAGCGCAGACUUAUAAAUAUGGAAAAUCAUGAAAAUCAUAUCCUCAUGCAAGACCUUCUUUCGGUUUCUUUAAGAGCGUCAAAUGCCACAAAAGAUACUGACUUACUUGAAGAGUUGUCGUACUUUUUCAAGAAGAUAUGUUCAACUGCCAUUGAUAAAGGAGAGUUAGAUACCAUUCAGUCAAAUCAUGUGUUGACCCUUUGUAAGAUAGAGAAAGAGUUUCCACCAACAUUUUUCACAAUUAUGGUUCAUCUACUAAUUCAUUUAGUGGAUGAGGUUAAACUCGGCGGACCUGUUCAUUACAGAUGGAUGUAUCCUAUUGAAAGGUACUUGGCCUUUUUGAAAUCUCAUGUUAGCAAUAAAGCACAGCCGGAAGGGUCCAUAGCUGAAUAGUUCCUUUUAUGGAAGACAAUUACGUUUCGCUCGAGAUAUUUAGAAAGUGUUGAGACCAUGUUCACUAGACCAAAAAGGAAUGAUGAUGGUGUUCCGCUCAUCAAUAACUAUCUAUACAACUCUGGUCGUGUCGUUGGAAAGAGAGAAAAUGUCGGCUUGAUGACAAAAGUUUAAAGCAAGCACAUUGCUAUGUUUUGCUUCAUUCGGAUGAGAUGAAACCAGUAAUUGAGUAAGUAUCAUUAUGGAUCGUUUAUCGAAUGUAUCUAUAAU